AAUGAACGCUGGCGGCGCGCCUAAUACAUGCAAGUCGAGCGAGAAGACGUAGCAAUACGUUUGUAAAGCGGCGAACGGGUGAGGAAUACAUGGGUAACCUACCCUCGAGUGGGAAUAACUAGCCGAAGGUUAGCUAAUACCGCGUACGCUCCUUGGACUUCGGUUCAGGGAGGAAAGCGAUACCGUGGGUAUCGCGCUCUUGGUUGGGCUCAUGUCCUAUCAGCUUGUUGGUGAGGUAACGGCUCACCAAGGCUUCGACGGGUAGCUGGUCUGAGAGGACGAUCAGCCACACUGGCACUGCGACACGGGCCAGACUCCUACGGGAGGCAGCAGUAAGGAAUAUUGCGCAAUGGGCGAAAGCCUGACGCAGCGACGCCGCGUGGGGGAUGAAAGU
rnacentral:rRNA from 1 species